AUGGUAUAAAUUGGGUUUCAUGGAUUGGUUUCAAUUCUGAAUGCUUUUCUGGAGCCAAAGCUCACCUCAGCACUCUUGGGCUGCAUGCUGUAAUCCUGGGGGAUGGGGGAUUAGUCCUGUGGCUUUGCUCUCUGGCCCCUUGAGAUUAAGCACCUGCUGUGCUGGAGGUGCUGAGGUGUUCCCAGUUCACUUGCAACAACACUCUGGCAGGGGCUGCUGGCAAAAUUGCUCCAGUGGGGCAGUGGGAGUCUCCACACACAUGUGCACCAAUGGAGGAGGCUGCAGAAAGACUUCAAUUAUUUUAUUUGAUGUGCCACUGGACAGACUUGUAAAUGGAAGCUCAAGGAAUUCAGUGAGUUGUCUCUGGAAAAGAGCAGAGCAGAUGAACACAACAGAUGAAGCUAUUAAUGCAGCUUUACCUUACUGACCCAGAGCCCUUCGAGUCUGAGUUUCCUCUGGACCAAGUGGUUAUCUUCUCUAUACAGACUGGGGAUUCUAUCUCCCAAGCAUGCAAUUAACUGCCCCUUUUGAAUAUUCUAUUCCAAGACUCAUUGC
rnacentral:lncRNA from 1 species